AACGCACAUUGCGCCCUUUGGUAUUCCAAAGGGCAUGCCUGUUCGAGCGUCAUUUGUACCUUCAAGCUUUGCUUGGUGUUGGGCGUCUUUUUUUUUUGUCUUGGGGCCUUUUGUGCCCUGAGACUCGCCUUAAAACGAUUGGCAGCCGGCCUACUGGUUUCGGAGCGCAGCACAUUUUUGCGCUUGCAAUCAGCAAAAGAGGCCAGCCAUCCAUCAAGACCAUUCUUCUCACUUUUGACCUCGGAUCAGGUAGGGAUACCCGCUGAACUUAA
rnacentral:misc_RNA from 1 species